UAUCACUAAGCGGAGCAAACGGGCCCCUGCNUCGCUCCUAAGUUGUAACUUGAAGGAACCGUAUCUUUGGUUUUGGCUCUUGUCUAUGUUCCUUGGAACAGGACGUCACAGAGGGUGAGAAUCCCGUGCGAUGAGAUGCCCAAUUCCAUGUAAAGUUCCUUCGACGAGUCGAGUUGUUUGGGAAUGCAGCUCUAAGUGGGUGGUAAAUUCCAUCUAAAGCUAAAUAUUGGCGAGAGACCGAUAGCGAACAAGUACUGUGAAGGAAAGAUGAAAAGAACUUUGAAAAGAGAGUGAAAAAGUACGUGAAAUUGUUGAAAGGGAAGGGCUUGAGAUCAGACUUGGAAUUUUCCAGCAAUGGAGCUUUCCGGGCCAGCAUCAGUUUGGAUGGCAGGAUAAUUGCGUAGGAAAGUGGCACCACCCUCGGUGGUGUGUUAUAGCCUGCGUCGAUACUGCCUAUCUAGACUGAGGACUGCGUCUUUGACUAGGAUGCUGGCAUAAUGAUCUUAAGCC
rnacentral:rRNA from 1 species